rnacentral:rRNA from 1 species
GAUGAACGCUGGCGGCGUGCCUAAUACAUGCAAGUCGAGCGAACAGACGAGGAGCUUGCUCCUCUGACGUUAGCGGCGGACGGGUGAGUAACACGUGGAUAACCUACCUAUAAGACUGGGAUAACUUCGGGAAACCGGAGCUAAUACCGGAUAAUAUAUUGAACCGCAUGGUUCAAUAGUGAAAGACGGUUUUGCUGUCACUUAUAGAUGGAUCCGCGCCGCAUUAGCUGGUUGGUAAGGUAACGGCUUACCAAGGCAACGAUGCGUAGCCGACCUGAGAGGGUGAUCGGCCACACGGGAACUGAGACACGGUCCAGACUCCUACGGGAGGCAGCAGUAGGGAAUCUUCCGCAAUGGGCGAAAGCUUGACGGAGCAACGCCGCGUGAGUGAUGAAGGUCUUCGGAUCGUAAAACUCUGUUAUUAGGGAAGAACAAAUGUGUAAGUAACUAUGCCCGUCUUGACGGUACCUAAUCAGAAAGCCACGGCUAACUACGUG